rnacentral:rRNA from 1 species
GACGAACGCUGGCGGCGUGCUUAACACAUGCAAGUCGAACGGAAAGGCCCCUUCGGGGGUGCUCGAGUGGCGAACGGGUGAGUAACACGUGAGUAACCUGCCCUGGUCUUGGGAUAACCUUCGGAAACGGGGGCUAAUACCGAAUAUAUCCGCGUCAUCGCAUGGUGGUGUGGGGAAAGUUUUUUCGGACUGGGAUGGGCUCGCGGCCUAUCAGCUUGUUGGUGGGGUGAUGGCCUACCAAGGCUUUGACGGGUAGCCGGCCUGAGAGGGCGACCGGCCACACUGGGACUGAGACACGGCCCAGACUCCUACGGGAGGCAGCAGUGGGGAAUAUUGCACAAUGGACGGAAGUCUGAUGCAGCGACGCCGCGUGAGGGAUGACGGCCUUCGGGUUGUAAACCUCUUUCGGUAGGGACGAAGCGUAAGUGACGGUACCUACAGAAGAAGCGCCGGCCAACUACGUGC